rnacentral:rRNA from 1 species
AUGGCCGACUUCGCGCUUGGGUUAGCCAAGACGGCGGUGGAGGGGACCCUGAGUAGGGUCCAAUCCGCCAUCGAUGAAGAGAACACACUGAAGGCGGCAGCACAACAGGACCUGGCGUUCAUCACUGGGGAAUUCCAGAUGAUGCAAUCCUUUCUAGAAGUCGCUAGUAAGGACCGUGCCAGAAAUAAAGUGGUGAAGACCUGGGUGCGGCAGCUCCGUGACCUUGCCUUCGAUGUCGAAGACUGUGUCGAGUUCGUUAUCCACCUGGACAACGACUCGACCUGGAAAUGGGUGUGGCGCAUGGUGCCCUCCUGCAUGACACCACCUCGGAGUCGGGACCUCGACGAUGCCGUCGCUGAGUUGAAGCAGCUCAAGGCGAGGGUUGAGGAAGUGAGCCAGAGAAACACCCGCUACAACCUCAUAAGUGACUCUGGCUCCGAUCCCGUCUCACAAUCACCGGCGGUGCAGCUGGCCACCACCGGUCCAUCAACAAUUGACAUCCUGAUGGACCUGUGGGAGGCCAAUGGGAAGCACCGCGGUUUCUGCAACCUUCAAAAGUUGAUAACCAACGAGGGAAAUGAUCUUCAGGUAAUCUCUUUGUGGGGAAGUGCAGGAUCUGAUAUUGAGGGAACACAUAUCAUCAAUAAGGCUUACUGCGACCCCGAAAUCUGCCACAUAUUCAAAAGCCGUGCCUGGGUAAAGCUGAUGCAUCCUUUUAACCCUGACGAGUUCCUCAAGAACUUACAGACUCGGUUACAAGCUAGCUCUCAGUCUUGCCAAGCUGUCCAUUUCAAGGGCGGGAUUUUAGAAGAUGAUCCGAUAAAGCAAUUGGCUGAGCAGAGAUAUCUUGUAAUCCUUGAAGGAAUAUCCAGUGUUGUAGAGUGGGAGAUCAUCAGAUUGUACCUGCCAGACAAUAACAAUGGCAGCCGGAUUGUCGUCUCCACCAAGCAGAUAGGGGAUGCAAUUUUUCUCGCAGGGGAGCCAUACCGAGUAUCAGUGCUCAGAGAGUUCACCGGUGGUCAUUAUCAUUGUGCAUUUUAUAAGAAGGGUUCAGGGCGUCGAAAUGUCAUGGGUGACCUUAUUGGGCUAUUAAAACGUCCUGGUGUGAUAUCUGUUUGGGGGACUGGUGAUGACAAAUCAACUCUCGUCAAAGAAAUCUUCGACGACUUCAGACAGAACAAGAAUGAAAAAAGGUUAAACUCUCAAGGAGCAGAAGGUUUAUUUUGCGGAUGGGUUGAUGUGGCCCAACCAUUCAUUUUGAAGGACUUCUACCUGAGCUUGUUGCAGUCGUUCCGUAAUAAUAAUAAUACUGAAUCCUUUGAGGGUGAUACCGAGCAAUGGUUUAAUAUGGUUCAUCAUGGGUACAAGUACCAACGCUUGGUAGUUAUUAACGGUUUGCAGUCCACGAAGGAGUGGCAAGUUAUUAAAAGUGCAUUCAUCACAUCGGGAAAACUUGCAAGUCUUCAAAAUCGUAUCAUUGUCAUAACGAAUGAAGAAAGUGUGGCCAUAAGUUGUGUAGAUCGUAAAUAUGGUGCGCUCAAUGUUAACGACAUGGCCCUUCAUCCUUCCAUGCAGAUCCAUGGCUAUAUGGACGAACUGUUUUGGCGACUACAACAUCGUAGAAUGAUAUCGGUGUUUGGGGCUGGCGGUGAAACAUCAACUAUCUUAAAACAAGUGUACGACGGCAUAAAGCAUCAGCAUCUAGGAUUCAAGGAGGUAGAAAAAUUUGAGUAUUACGUAUGGGUGGACUUACCUCAUCCAUUCGGUGAUGAGGAAUUGCGUUUGCGCUUGUUCAAGGAAUGGUUUCCAGAUGAAGACGAGGAAGAGGAGCUUGCUGAAAGCUUUUUUUGGCCUCGUGAAAAAAAGUGCAUUUUUAUUAUAAAUGGCAUGGAAUCUACCGAGGAGUGGGAGUUGAUAAAACAAUUCCUCGUGGUAUGGAAUCUUGUCGUACAGAAGAGAGGGAUUGAGAGUCGUAUCAUCCUUAUUGCAAAUCAUGAAAGUUUUCCCAACCAUUUUGUAGAACAUCUGGAAGCCAACAAUGUCGUUCGUCGCUUGACCAAGGCCUCUGACUACUAUGGAUAUGGAGAUAAUAAGGAGGCUUCUAGAAGUAUGUUUCUGUCCAACAGAAUUGAAAACCCAUGUAUCAUGAAGUCUCAAUGGGAGGCUUGCAGGAAAAUCAAUAAACUUUCAGAACGUACUGGGGUCACCUCAGUAUGGGGCAUUGCUGGUGUUGGGAAAUCAACUCUUGUCCUAAAGUAUUUACAGGAGCCUAUAUUUUCUCUUUUCAGUAAGUUCGCAUGGGUCAAUGUUCCAUCUGGUCCGUUUGAUUUGGUGGAAUUUUCUCGGAUCUUACUUCUAGAUUUCCAUCGUUGUGAUCUGGAAGCCAUGGAAGCUACAGCAAUUGGUAUUAUGCAGGGUCUGGAUCCAAUUCAAGGGUGUCGUGAAAUUCUGCGUCUAGACAAGUAUCUCGUUGUUAUUGAUGGUCUGCGGUCCACUUGCGAUUGGGACUUGAUCGAAGCGGCCUUUUUAUCCGAGCCUAAUAGAAAGGCCACAAUAGUUGUCAUUACAACUGAAGAAAGCAUCGCCAAACAUAGUGUCAAGCAGCAGGCAGAUCGAAUGAUCAAUGUCAAAUGUUUAGAAGAUGACGAGGCCUAUGUUCUCUUCAAACAGAUAAAUGAUCCUAACGGCAAGGAACUGGCUAGUCCAAUGGGAAAUGAGGACCUUGCAAAACUUGUGGCCAAAUGUGGUGGUCUUCCAAAAGUAGUGUCUGCUAUAGGCAAAGUUUCGUGGUCAUUCUUGGAGCACAUGAAUGAUGAGUUUAUGGUCAAAUUGGAGACUGACCCUCAAUUCCAUACUUUGAGUGGUCUAUUAUCUUGGAUGCAUUCCUAUUUUGAUGCUUGUUCAGAUUCGAUAAAACCAUGUAUCUUCUACAUUUCUGUCUUCCCUGCAAGCAGCAAAAUAAGGCGAGGCCGUUUAGUGAGGAGAUGGAUUGCUGAGGGCUACUCCAGGAACGCACCAGGUUGUACCGCAAGGGAGAAUGUGCAAAAGCGCUUGGCUGAUCUUGUUGAAUUGAGUAUAAUCCAGCAAGCAACAAGCAAGGUCAUAUGUCAAGUCAACGGUUUCUUCCGUGAAUACAUCAUCUCGCGGCCAAUGGAGGAUAAUCUUGUUUUUGCAUUGGAUGGGCGUUGCAGUCCAAACACGCAACACACAGGACAACACCUGACCAUAAUGGCAGACUGGCACAGGGACCAAAAUGUAUUUGAGAGCAUCAACUUCGCACGGAUGCGUUCUUUGACGGUGUUUGGGACAUGGUGUUCAUUCUUUAUCUCCGACAAGAUGAAGCGGCUACGAGUGCUGGACUUAGAAGACAUGAUGGCUGUAACAAAUGAUGAUAUUGAGAAGAUUUUUGUGAAGUUGUUGAGCCUCAAGUUCAUCUCCCUACGAGGAUGCAGGAAGAUUAGUCGUCUGCCGGAUACAUUGGGAGGACUGAGGCACCUACAGACUAUUGAUGUAAGAUUGACCUCCAUAUCCAUGUUGCCAUCUGCUAUCAUCAAGCUACAUAAGCUGCAAUACAUCCGUGCUGGUACAGAUCAAGAUUGGACAUCGGCAUCAUUAGAAGACUGCGAUGGGGUCACAAGCCAACUACGAGCAGCAACAUCACCAGAGCUAGAAGACGGUGAUAGCAACAUAUCUGUUGGCCAGCCAACAGUACAAACAUCUCCUGAAAAUGGCAGUGCCGAAAGCCCGGCACAGGUAACAACAUCACCAGAAGCCAAGUCCUUUCCAAUGCAACCAAAGGUGGGAUGGGUAUCCAAACUGUCACGUACUUCAGUAUCUCGGUUGCCCAAGUUUCCACUUGUUGCUACCUGGAGCUUGUGUGGGUCGGAGGGAGAGAGAGAGGCCAAACAUCAAAAUGGUGGUGUUGACCUUCCUGUAGGGAUUGAAAACCUUGCGGCCUUGCAUACUGUUGGUGUGGUGAAUGUCAAUGCAUCAGGUGGGGAGGCCUUCCUGAAGCAGCUCGCAAGUCUAACCCAACUGCUCAAGCUCAGAGUGUGCGGCAUCAAUAAGAAAAACUGGCAGCUGCUGUGUGGGGCCCUCUCGAAUGAGAAUUGCCAUCUGGAAUCGUUGUCAGUGCGAUUCGACGAGGAUUGCCUCGACGGUAGCUUCAUGCCACCCAAGACCCUAAAGAGCCUUAAGCUGUACGGGCCUAUAAAGAAAUUGCCAGACACUAUCAAGGUUCUUGUCAAUCUCAAAAAGUUGGACAUUGAGAUGACUAUUACAAGGCUAGAGGACAUGCACUUUUUCCUGAAAGACAAAUUGCCACGUCUUGGUAUCCUAAAUCGUCUCUGCAUCAAGGUGCAAGGAGACCAGAAGUUAGAUUUUGACUUGUCGGAAUUCCCGUACUUAGUGUUCAACAAGGAUAAUCCUUGUAGACCUCGGGUCCUCAAGAUGGAUUGCAGCUCCAAGUUGGAGGUGAAGUUCGUUUGUCAUGGCAUAUUCGGAUCUUUUGAGGUGCUGAUAAUCCAGUGCUCUAAAGGAUCAUUUUUCCGGGUUCUUGGGAUUCAUGGGUUAAAUCCUUUGUUCGCUCUUAAGACACUCUGGCUUAAGGGUUCCUACAGCGAGGAACAACGGCAGCACGUGAAGGAACUUGUUGACAGACAUUAUGAGAAGCCAGUCUUGAAGCUGGAGCCACUGUAG